UACGUAGGGUGCGAGCGUUAAUCGGAAUUACUGGGCGUAAAGCGUGCGCAGGCGGUUUUGUAAGCCAGAUGUGAAAUCCCCGGGCUCAACCUGGGAAUGGCAUUUGGGACUGCAAGGCUGGAGUACGGCAGAGGGGGAUGGAAUUCCGCGUGUAGCAGUGAAAUGCGUAGAUAUGCGGAGGAACACCGAUGGCGAAGGCAAUCCCCUGGGCCUGCACUGACGCUCAUGCACGAAAGCGUGGGGAGCAAACAGG
rnacentral:rRNA from 1 species